AUGAAGAUUCAUUACUUUCUGGAGAAGGCCUUGAGAAAGAGAAGAAACCUUUCACCUAUGGAUCACAGGUCACUGAAGGAAGAUAAAGACUCUGGGAAGAAACCAACAGGAAAAGGGCUGACCAUCUCUAUCAUGUUUCCAGCUUCAACUUGCUACAAUAGCGAUUAUGGGGAAUUUCCCCUUUAGAUCUGAGUCAACAGGCCAGCAGAUGGACCUUGAGAAAUGAAGUCCAGUAAUGACCUCCAGGAAUUGAUGCAGAGUGAAAGGAGCGGAACCAGGAGAACCUGAUACACAGAGACGGACAUAAUGUAGUACAAUUGAAUGUAAUGGACUUCUCUACUAGGAGCAAUGCAAUGAUCCAGGACAAUUCAGAGGGACUUAUGAGAAAGAAUGCUAUCCACAUCCAGAGGAAGAACUGUGGGAGUAGAAAUGCAGAAGAAAAAUAACUGCUUGAGCAUAUGGGUUGAGGGGGAUAUGACUGUGGAUGUAGACUCUAAAAUAUCACCAUAGUACAAAUAUCAAUAAUAUGGAAAUAGGUCUUGAUCAAUGACACAUGUAAAACCCAGUGGAAUUGCGAGUCGGCUAUGGGGGCAGGGGUGAAAGGGGGAGGAGGGGCGGGAAAGAACAUGAAUCAUGUAACCAUGGAAAAGUAUUCUAAAUUAAUGAAUUAAAUAAA
rnacentral:lncRNA from 1 species